GCCUUGGUGGUGGAAUGGUAGACGCAGCGGAUUCAAAAUCCGCCGCUCGAAAGGGUGUGCGAGUUCGAGUCUCGCCCGAGGCACCA
rnacentral:tRNA from 1 species